GGACUACGUGAGAUCUUUGUUUUGCCUUGUGGAUCUGUAUAUAAUAAAGCGAGGUAUUUUUAAUCUGAACUAACACAUAGAUUUCACUCGUUGUUCUACAACACUCGAUUUACCAGAUGGUUUGUUACUGUUUUCUGUGAUGACAUUUUUUGUUUUUAUGGGACAUUACUAACUGAGAACAGCAGAGACAGAGGCAUGAGGGGAUCAAAGCACAUAAUGAAUAUGAUGAAAGCAACGCAAUCUGCAAUAAUGCAGGCCCCUUGUAUAAACACAGUCCUGCUAUCGCAGGAGGACUGGACAUGCUUUACGAGUCCAUAAACAAAAUAUCUCGGUCCUCACCCGGGCACUGCCAUAACGAUUUACGAUUCAGAGUGGAAGCAUCUCUCAGGAAUGCAACUUUAAGGACUACAA